UACGGGGGGGGCAAGCGUUGUUCGGAAUUACUGGGCGUAAAGGGCUCGUAGGUGGCCAACUAAGUCAGACGUGAAAUCCCUCAGCUUAACUGGGGAACUGCGUCUGAUACUGGAUGGCUUGAGUUUGGGAGAGGGAUGCGGAAUUCCUGGUGUAGCGGUGAAAUGCGCAGAUAUCAGGAGGAACACCGGUGGCGAAGGCGGUUCUCUGGGCAUGUCCUGACGCUGAGGAGCGAAAGUGUGGGGAGCGAACAGG
rnacentral:rRNA from 1 species